GACCUUCAGCUGUGGAUUACUCAACUCCUGCAUCACUGAAGAAUGCAGCUAGCUGUGAGAAUUAAUGUGAAUUGCAGGACACAUUGAUCAUCGACCCUUCCAAUGCACUUGCAGCCUGAGUUCCUCCCAGGGCUAUGCCUGUCUGAGCGUCG
rnacentral:rRNA from 2 species